CAGGAAAUCAGGUUUUCGCUGCUUCACGUGCUGCAUGCUGGGAGAGCGCCAGAUAACAUGGUGACCCGCAGGAUGCAGCCUGCCUGAUGCAGAAUGUCUGAUCUGACCUCUCAUCUAUGACAAGGCAGGGGGCUCCAUUCUGCCAGUUGGGAAAACAACAUGUGCUCAUGUGGUGGGAACUGAAUAUGCGACAUAAUGAGCAACUGUUGAAGGGUCAUUAACAUGGCCACGGAUGCCAUCACUUGGAGUGGGAUGCUGACCUGCCUUUCGCAAGCUCUGAGAUUCCUCUCAGUGCACAGAGCGAUCCAAGACAGGCGUAGAAACAAAGACAUCUGUGUGUGACAAUGCGCGCGACAUGGACUGGUCUGCGAAACCCGUGCGCUCCGGGGAGAGCAGGGGGUCUUGGGAAUGGAGGCGCUCUGCAGACAAAAGCUGUUCAUCAGAGAGGAUCCGUUCAUAGGACAUGCUGAACUCCUCGGGCAUGACCCUCUC